rnacentral:lncRNA from 1 species
CUGCCUCACAAAGUGCUGGGAUUAUAGGUGUGAGCUACUGUGCCCAGCCUUUCAGAUUCAUUUUCAAAAAGUUCUAAUUCCUUCUUGUUAUUCACGGAAAAGAAAUCAGGUUUUGUUUGCCUUACUAUUAUUUACAAUAUAGACAAUAGUUUUAAUACUGUGGGAAUGAAGCACUUGAGUAUUUUUUGUCUUUUGAAUGUCAGUGAGUUCUAUUUUCAGAAAUUUGGCAUGGGUUCAGCAUAAAUUUAUGUGACAUAUAUUUAGUGAUUAAGACAAAAAGAAUAGCACUCACUGACAUUGCUAAAUAAAAAUUUUCCAGUACUACCAAUAUAAUUUAUCUUGUUUAUUAUAGCUUUAAGAAUUUUUCUAGAAAACUGAAGAUAGCAGAGAAUUAACACAACUCUAAAAUAUCCUGAAAACUAAUUUUUGCUUAUAUGAUUGAGAAAAUUAUCUUCACAUUUCACAUUGCAGACUCUGUCUACCUUCAGUGAAAUAUUUUUGGCUUAGAAAACUAGUGUCUAGAACACAUUAGGUUUCAGAAACAGUUUUUUGGCACUUCUGUAAGAAACUCCACUCAACUUAUUGUGAAAUUGUAUUAAGUAAAUUAAGUGAAAAUUGUUUAGUAAGUAUUCAAUAUUGUGUUAGGUGGUAUAGCUAUUAAGGGAAAAAAAGAUGAGUUGUGGCCUUUGCCCUCACUUGUCUGAUAAAAUAGUUGAGAAGAGACGUAAAGCAACAAUUAAUAAAACAGGACAGCUCAGAGUAAUGUGUAUGCUGAUUUUUAGAAGUUCUGAGAUGAGAGAGAGAAAGAUGGAGCAAAUAUAAACAUAGAAGCUAAGAACAGAGGACACGGAGAGAGCAAGUUCAUCCUGCAUUUCUGACCACUUUUCUGUUAUUCUUUCCUUGAGGCUCCACUGAAAUGAAUGAAACCUGAAAUGGUAGAGAAAACUGCAUAGAAGAGGAGUUAUUUGUGUAUAUUUAAACACAGAAAAUAAAUAAGAUCUCCAAGGAGAGGAAAAUAGCUAAAGAAUUGGGAGAUGAUAUGAUAUCUUCAUCGAAGACCAAAUCUGGUGCAAAUGAAAGAUUUCAAGAGAUGUGACUGUAAAGUAAAAUAUUUUUAGUUAUGUAGUAUUUUACUUUAUAGUCACAUUUGUAUCAUUUAUAAUUCCCAGUUGAUAUUACCCUUCAGAGAAGACACUCUGGAAGGUAUGACUCUUAUUCUAAUGUUGUUACCAUUAGCUCAAAUACUUUUGAAUUUUCUUCAAAACCAGGUUAUGAAUUACUCAGACAAAAGUUUUACCUCUUAAGAUACACCUCAGUUUUGAUCAAAAUAAAUAUUUCCCAGGCUGGUCACUUAACUGACACAACACCAAACAACUUCUGACUAUAUCCAAACACCAAAUCUACCCUCACAUUAUACACAUUAGCACCAUUGAGGGCUUUUUUAAAAAUGGGCCAAAUAUUUAUCAAAGCUGUUUUUAAAUACCUAAAUAUGAAAAACAAAAUUCUGAUUUUAAAUGGAAAAUCAACCUUGUUGGCUUAAAUUCCCAAUGACUUCAAACCAGGCAAGCUUUUCAAUAUAAGUUUUUU